UAAUCAUCUUUAAGGGAAAUAUUUUGAGUUUCAUCAGACACAUACGCAGCUGAGCUUUGUGUCCACACACUGAGUGCCCUGGGGCCAAACAAAACACGGUAAUAGUGACCUUGCUGAGAGAUGAUGUCACAUUGGGAGAAAGGUUCCCUUUGUAUUGACUCUAAGUGUCCAGUUCAUGAGUCCUAAGCCUUGAGCUAGGAAAUGCCCUUUUCUGCCCUGGGAAGCAGGCUCCUAGAUUGUGUGUUUCUCUGUCUCCUGGUCUAGCCUGGGCACAGACAGGGCACCCCCUCAUGAACUUGUUACAUCCGGGCUGUGACUUUCAGCACCAGGUGGUCCUUUGCUCUGACUUCAAUUUCUGUGUCCUUCUCUCCUAAACCCCAUGGAUGCUGAGUGACUCAGACUCCAGUCAUGUGCUUGUGCCAAAAGGAAACCAGCACGAGAGGAGACCCAGAAGAUCCCUCUGUCCUGUAGCACCUGCCAUGAGCAUCGGCCUCCUGUGCUGUGCGGCCUUUUCUCUCCUGUGGGCAGGUCCUGCAAAUGCUGGUGUCACUCAGAGCCCAAAAUUCCAGAUCCUGAAGACAGGACAGAGCAUGACAGUGCAGUGUGCCCAGGAUAUGAACCAUAACUCCAUGUACUGGUAUCGACAAGACCCAGGCAUGGGGCUCAGGCUGAUUCAUUACUCAGCUGCUGAGGGUACCACUGACCCAGGAGAAAUCCCCGAUGGCUACAGUGUCUCCAGAUUAAACAAAACGGAUUUCCUGCUCAGGCUGGAGUCCGCUGCUCCCUCCCAGACAUCUGUGUACUUCUGUGCCAGCAGUGAAGACACAGUGCUGCACGGCCGUCUCCUCUCUGUACAUAAAGGCAGGGAGGCUCUGCCCUCCUCUCUCACCCCAAACUCAGUGAUGCCCUGA